GAUGAACGCUGGCGGCGUGCCUAAUACAUGCAAGUCGAGCGAACAGACGAGGGGCUUGCUCCUCUGACGUUAGCGGCGGACGGGUGAGUAACACGUGGAUAACCUACCUAUAAGACUGGGAUAACUUCGGGAAACCGGAGCUAAUACCGGAUAAUAUAUUGAACCGCAUGGUUCAAUAGUGAAAGACGGUUUUGCUGUCACUUAUAGAUGGAUCCGCGCCGCAUUAGCUAGUUGGUAAGGUAACGGCUUACCAAGGCAACGAUGCGUAGCCGACCUGAGAGGGUGAUCGGCCAAACUGGAACUGAGAAAAGGUCCAGAAUCCUACGGGAGGCAGCAGUAGGGAAUAUUCCGAAAUGGGCGAAAGCCUGACGGAGCAACGCCGCGUGGGUGAAGAAGGUCUUCGGGUCGGAAAACCCUUUUAUUAGGGAAGAAAAAAAGGGGAAGUAAACAAGGACGUUUUGAAGGUACCUAAACAAAAAGCCAAGGCUAACUUAGUG
rnacentral:rRNA from 1 species